rnacentral:lncRNA from 13 species
AGCAACACUUAGCAACAGCAACUCGGCAAACACAAGCAUUAAGGACAGACAGACACAGAGGGGCAGAGAGGCUAUUCACUUUUGACGACUCACAUUCACCAGUUAACAAAUUCAGUCAGUUCUAUUUUAAUGCCACAGCAGAAUGGUACAAAGCUCCUAGAAGAGAGCAUUUUCCUUUAAGUUUUUAUGCUUUGAAAUGUUUGAUUUAAUGUUAUUUUUAGUAAAAUUACAUACUUGUUUUUGUUUGUUUUAUAGAGACAGGGGAAUGAAACUGCUCUCCUGAGGAUCUUUCUUCUACAAAAGAGCAGGACUUGUCUGAAAGGACAGUGUUUGGAGCAGGAUUUGUCUGAGAGGACAGUAUCUAGAACAGGAUUUGUCUCAGAGGACAGUAAUCUAGAACAGGAUUUGUCUGAAAGGACAGUGUCUGGAGCAGGAUUUGUCUGAGAGGACAGUGUCUGGAACAGGAUUUGCCUGAGAGGACAGUGUCUGGAGCAGGAUUUGUCUGAAAGGACAGUGUCUGGAGCAGGAUUUGUCUGAGAGGACCGUAUCUGGAGCAGGAUUUGUCUGAGAGGACCGUAUCUAACUGUUAUUCCUUAGUGUUUUAAGAAGCAGCAGGGUUUUAGUCAUGAAAGAUAUUGCUCUAUCGCUACUCAGUCGAGGCUGUGGUCAUGUUGUCCAGUCUCAUCUGGGUAGUCAAGAUGGACGCCUGGAAGUCUACUUCGAACCUAAGGACUACUAUCAUUGGAAGUCUCAGCCCCCCCUGCUCCGCUUAUCUAAGAGUGGCCGUCUGCUGGGCGGGGAGGAGCCAGCGCUCCCUAAAACCUACAGCACAAGACAGGGACCGCUCUUCUUAUACUACCAGGAAAUGGCCAUGACGUCAUCGUUUCUGUCAUCAUGCCCCUCAGUGUCAGAGGACAUCAGGAAGGGGCAGGCCUCCCAACAUUCCAGACAGGAAGUGGAGCUCCAGCUGAACACUCUGCGGGACCUGACGGGAGCCAUACUGGCUUAUGGGAAAAAGCAGCUUCGUGAGGAAGGAGAAGGCAAAGACACCAACCAGCCUGUCCUCCCCCUCCCCUCCAGUCAUGAGACCUACUAUCCUCCCAUCAAGCCCUCCUACUCCAGACACCCCACCAAGGGUUGGACUCCCUUCAGGUCUACCUGGAACCCCCAGGCAGCUCCCACCCACCUGGAGCAGCUUACAGAUGAUCCAGAGCUGUGUAGGGGCCAUGUCAAGACCCCACGCCCCACUCCAGCUACAGGUGGCCUUUACCUCCCCAGGCCUGGCCUGGCAGUCUCCC